rnacentral:rRNA from 1 species
AUACCGGACUCAAUGAGGCUCGGUAAUUGAAAUGAGUACAGUUUAAAACCCUUAACGAGGAUCUAUUGGAGGGCAAGUCUGGUGCCAGCAGCCGCGGUAAUUCCAGCUCCAAUAGCGUAUAUUAAAGUUGUUGCAGUUAAAAAGCUCGUAGUUGGAUCUCGGGUACUAGCAUGUGGUACGCUUUUUUGCUGUUACUACAUGUCUGGUCCUAAUCAACCGGUUGGCCGUUGAUGUCCUUUAUUGGGUGUUUUCGGUAGCCGGUACGUUUACUUUGAGAAAAUUAGAGUGCUUAAAGCAGGCCUUAAGCCUGAAUAAUGUUGCAUGGAAUAAUAGAAUAGGACCUCGGUUCUAUUUUGUUGGUUUUGUAGAGCAUUGAGGUAAUGAUUAAUAGGGACAGACGGGGGCAUUCGUAUUGCGGUGUUAGAGGUGAAAUUCUUCGAUCGCCGCAAGACGAACAACUGCGAAAGCAUUUGCCAAGAAUGUUUUCAUUAAUCAAGAACGAAAGUUGGAGGUUCGAAGACGAUUAGAUACCGUCCUAGUUCCAACCAUAAACGAUGCCAACUAGCGAUUAGCUGCUGUUAUUUUUACGACACAGCUAGCAGCUUCCGGGAAACCAAAGUUUUUGGGUUCCGGGGGAAGUAUGGUUGCAAAGCUGAAACUUAAAGGAAUUGACGGAAGGGCACCACCAGGAGUGGAGCCUGCGGCUUAAUUUGACCCAACACGGGAAAUCUCACCCGGCCCGGACACUGUAAGGACUGACAGAUUGAGAGCUCUUUCUUGAUUCGGUGGGUGGUGGUGCAUGGCCGUUCUUAGUUGGUGGAGCGAUUUGUCUGGUUAAUUCCGAUAACGAACGAGACUCUAGCCUGCUAAAUAGUACGUCGAUCUUUAGUCGGCGCGUACUUCUUAGAGGGACAAGUAGCGGUAAGCUACACGAAAUUGAGCAAUAACAGGUCUGUGAUGCCCUUAGAUGUUCGGGGCCGCACGCGCGCUACACUGAAGGGAUAAGCGUGUUUUUCCUGCUCCGAAAGGAGUGGGUAAUCCGCUGAAACCCCUUCGUGAUUGGGAUCGGGGCUUGAAACUAUUCUCCGUGAACGAGGAAUUCCCAGUAAGCGCGAGUCAUAAGCUCGCGUUGAUUACGUCCCUGCCCUUUGUACACACCGCCCGUCGCUACUACCGAUUGAAUGGUUUAGUGAGAUCUUCGGAUUGGUCCGGAGGUGUCCGCAAGGUCGCCUCUAGGUGCCGAGAAGAUGAUCAAACUUGA